AGAGUUUGAUCCUGGCUCAGGACGAACGCUGGCGGCGUGCUUAACACAUGCAAGUCGAACGGAGUUUAAGAGGAAGCUUGCGAAUCUUAAACUUAGUGGCGGACGGGUGAGUAACGCGUGGAUAACCUGCCUGAAUGACUGGGACAACACCGGGAAACUGGUGCUAAUACCGGAUACGCUCAUCAUUGCGCAGGCAAAGGUGAGGAAAGGAGAAAUCCGCAUACAGAUGGGUCCGCGUCCCAUUAGCUAGUUGGCGGUGUAAGAGACCACCAAGGCGACGAUGGGUAGCCGGCCUGAGAGGGUGGACGGCCACACUGGAACUGAGACACGGUCCAGACUCCUACGGGAGGCAGCAGUGGGGAAUCUUCCGCAAUGGGCGAAAGCCUGACGGAGCAACGCCGCGUGAGUGAGGAAGGCCUUCGGGUCGUAAAACUCUGUCUUCAGGGAAGAAAAAAAUGACGGUACCUGAGGAGGAAGCCCCGGCUAACUACGUGCCAGCAGCCGCGGUAAAACGUAGGGGGCGAGCGUUGUCCGGAAUUACUGGGCGUAAAGGGCGCGUAGGCGGUUAUUUAAGUCAGAGGUGAAAACUACCGGCUCAACCGGUAGCCUGCCUUUGAAACUGGAUGACUUGAGGGCAGGAGAGGGGAGUGGAAUUCCCAGUGUAGCGGUGAAAUGCGUAGAUAUUGGGAGGAACACCAGUGGCGAAGGCGGCUCUCUGGCCUGUUUCUGACGCUGAGGCGCGAAAGCGUGGGGAGCAAACGGGAUUAGAUACCCCGGUAGUCCACGCCGUAAACGAUGGGUGCUAGGUGUAGGAGGUAUCGACCCCUUCUGUGCCGUAGUUAACACAAUAAGCACCCCGCCUGGGGAGUACGGCCGCAAGGUUGAAACUCAAAGGAAUUGACGGGGGCCCGCACAAGCGGUGGAGCAUGUGGUUUAAUUCGACGCAACGCGAAGAACCUUACCAGGGCUUGACAUCCUCUGACCGCAUAUGAAAGUAUGUUUUCUGGCUUCGGUCAGACAGAGAGACAGGUGGUGCAUGGUUGUCGUCAGCUCGUGUCGUGAGAUGUUGGGUUAAGUCCCGCAACGAGCGCAACCCCUACGCUUAGUUGCUAACGUGUAACGAUGAGCACUCUAGGCGGACUGCCGUUGACAAAACGGAGGAAGGUGGGGAUGACGUCAAAUCAUCAUGCCCCUUAUGUUCUGGGCUACACACGUGCUACAAUGGCCGGUACAAAGGGACGCAAAGCCGCGAGGUGGAGCAAAUCCGAUAAAAGCCGGUCUCAGUUCGGAUUGCAGGCUGAAAUUCGCCUGCAUGAAGUCGGAAUCGCUAGUAAUCGCAGGUCAGCAUACUGCGGUGAAUACGUUCCCGGGCCUUGUACACACCGCCCGUCACACCACGAAAGCGAGCAACACCCGAAGCCGGUGACUUAACCUGAAAAGGAGGGAGCUGUCGAAGGUGGGGUUGGUGAUUGGGGUGAAGUCGUAACAAGGUA
rnacentral:rRNA from 1 species